rnacentral:rRNA from 1 species
CCCUUAGAUGUUCUGGGCCGCACGCGCGCUACACUGAUGCAUUCAACGAGUCCAACCUUGACCGAGAGGUCCGGGUAAUCUUUGAAACUGCAUCGUGAUGGGGCUAGAUUAUUGCAAUUAUUAAUCUUCAACGAGGAAUGCCUAGUAAGCGUGAUUCAUCAAAUCGCGUUGAUUACGUCCCUGCCCUUUGUGCACACCGCCCGUCGCUCCUACCGAUUGAGUGUGUUGGUGAGGAGUUUGGAUUGGCCUCGGAAGGUGGUUCGCCACCGUCCGUAGCUGAGAAGUUCUCCAAACCGCCCCACUUAGAGGAAGGAGAAGUCGUAACA